UACGAGGGGAGCAAGCGUUGUUCGGAUUUACUGGGCGUAAAGGGCGCGUAGGCGGUCGUGACAAGUCACUUGUGAAAUCUCCGGGCUUAACUCGGAACGGUCAAGUGAUACUGUCGGACUAGAGUACAGAAGGGGCAGCUGGAAUUCUCGGUGUAGCGGUGAAAUGCGUAGAUAUCGAGAGGAACACCUGCGGCGAAGGCGGGUUGCUGGGCUGAUACUGACGCUGAUGCGCGAAAGCCAGGGGAGCGAACGGG
rnacentral:rRNA from 1 species